rnacentral:rRNA from 1 species
UACGUAGGGACCGAGCGUUGUCCGGAAUUAUUGGGCGUAAAGGGCUCGUAGGCGGUCUGUUGCGUCGGGAGUGAAAACUUACAGCUUAACUGUGAGCGUGCUUUCGAUACGGGCAGACUUGAGGCAUUCAGGGGAGAACGGAAUUCCUGGUGUAGCGGUGAAAUGCGCAGAUAUCAGGAAGAACACCCGUGGCGAAGGCGGCUCUCUGGGACGUGACUGACGCUGAGACGCGAAAGCGUGGGGAGCAAACAGG